rnacentral:rRNA from 1 species
UACAGAGGGGGCAAGCGUUGUUCGGAAUUACUGGGCGUAAAGGGCGCGUAGGCGGCCUUCUAAGUCGAACGUGAAAUCCCCGGGCUCAACCCGGGAACUGCGUCCGAUACUGGAAGGCUUGAAUCCGGGAGAGGGAUGUGGAAUUCCAGGUGUAGCGGUGAAAUGCGUAGAUAUCUGGAGGAACACCGGUGGCGAAGGCGACAUCCUGGACCGGUAUUGACGCUGAGGCGCGAAGCCAGGGAGCAACGGG